CAGCGGCUUGGGGUGAGAAAUGCCAAGUCGGGGCAUUCUAGGUCGUCUGAAGUUCACAGAACAUAAAGUUCAAGGCAUGGACGGCCAUUUGUGGGGCUGGACAGAGGAGCAUGGGGUAUGUCAGGAAAGUUCGUGCUGCUAGGCAGAGGAACUGCAGCUUGUUGGCAGGUGAAGGGAGCCUGUUUAGCUGUGUCCAGCAACAACUUACGUGGUCCUGCUUGUGUUCCAGGUGAAGCGUCUGGCCGCCGAGCAGAGGUUGUUGCUGCUUCACAUUCGUAGAAUCAAGACCUGCUCAUUCUUUCCUCGGGGGAUCCAUCCAGCAAUGACAUCAUCUCAUGCUGCCACAAGGACCCCAAGUCUGGGCUGCUGGGGACCAGCCACGCUCCCCACUGCUCAUUCCUUCAUCCUAGAGACAUUCUGACUCUCCUCCGACUGCGCUGUGCACAGGUGUGACAAGCUCUUUUACAUCUCAGUCUGCACAACUUCAGGCACUUAGCAGAUUGAUAUGCAUCCAACAAAUAUUGAUUGAAUAUCUGCUAAAUACCCAGUAAUGUUUCAUGAGUGAUUGGGUGAAUAAAGGAAUGCUGGUUCCUUCUGGCCAUAUUAACUCCUGCACAAUACUAAGAAAAAUAAAUUGCACUAGCUGUGGAAUAAUGUGAAUCCCAAUGUCAUCUAUUGAAAUAUUACCUGACUAUUAAGAGGUAUUUAUUUUUGUAUCUUUUCUAGCAAAGUAAAUAAAAUUCUUAAUACAGCAUAUCCCCUUAUUCACGGGGGGUAUGUUCCAAGACCCCCGGUGGAUGCCUGAAACUAUGGAUAAUACCAGAUCCUACAUAUACCGUGUGUUUCGUAUGCAUUCUUACAUAUGAUAAAGUUUAAUUUCCAAAUCUGGCACCGUAAGAGCUUAAUAACAAUAACCAAUAGUAAAAUAGAAUUAUCGUGACAAUGUGCUGUAAUGAAAGCCAUGUGACUCUGGCCUUCCUCUCUCUCAGCAUAUCCUAUUGCACUGUGCUCACCCUUCUUCGUGGGGUGACAUAAGGGGUUGUGAUGCCCACGUGACGAGGUUCAGUGCGGUGAGUAUUGCUGGCACUGUGACCUGGCUUGGCUGCAGCUGUCUCCCAAGGAGGCACAGAAGGAGGGUCCCUGCUUCCAUCAUACAGCCCUGGCGGUGCUGGUGGCUGACGUCAGGAGCAGGCGACGUGGAUACCAGGUAGGAGCACAGACCGUGGGUCUGCUGGAGAUGGGAGAUCACGACCCGGGCAGAAUGGAGCGAGAUUUCAUCAUGCUACUCAGAACAGCACACAACUUAAAACUCGUGAAUUGUUUAUUUCUGGAAUUUUUUAUUUAAUAUUUUCCAACUGAACACAGAAGGGGAAACUGGAUAAGAGGGGACGACUAUAACUGCAAAGCCACCGUACACACUCAGCUGCAGCUCCUCAGCACCCGGGGGGCCACUGAGCUACAUGGUAACCACCACGCAGCAGCCUCUUUAAUUUGCACAGGCAUGUGUGUGCACACACACAUGCACACACAGAUGCGCAUACACACACGUGCACACACGGAUCCACACGUGCCCACGCACACACACAGACACAUACACACACAUGCGCACACACACAUUGUCUUUUCUUUGACAAAUUGGUCAGUGUGAACUUGUGGACACUUAGCUGCACCAACCUGGAGUUACCCGUGAACCUGCAGAUGCUGAUGUCACCCGUUGGGGAAAAACAUUUGGAAUGGUCUGAAUGUGGCAGGCCCUGCUGUGUUGGAGACAGAAGCCUUUCCACAAGGACCUUUCAUGGACCGUUCCUUUAAAGUCACUUAGUCCUCACAACCACUUCAUGCUGAACAACCUUCCCAAUCUAACAGGGAGGAAACCCAGGCCAAAUGUGUUUCCGUGAUGUGUGCAUAGAUCCCCAGGGAGCAGUCACAAUACGGGGUUCGGCCUCAUCUGAUUCCAGGGCUCACACUCUGUCCAGCACCCACGGUUUCUGCCCUUGAGGAGUUUCUUGUCUGAAAUAAAUAUUACAUUAUGGACUGGAAAGCCACGUGACAGCAUUAAAUAAGAAAACUAUGGGAGUCCUGAACCUCAGAAAAGGAUUUUCAUCGCAAAGAUAAUUUAAGUUGAAUUGCGAGAGCAUUGGAAUGCACAGCUGAUGGGUGUGAUGAGGUCAGUGUGUGCAAAGUGGAGAAAGCGCUCGAGAUGGGAAGGAAAGGAGGUCAGAGACCUCACAAAUCGCGUCCCACCUAAGGGAAGGGGAUGCAUUCGCUGAGGCACGACUUGAAAGGCAGGUAGAACCACGUGACCUCACACUUGCAAUCCACCAAACCUGACAUGCGCCCUCCCUCUCUGCUGGACUCUGCCUGCCGCACUCUGCGUCCUCUUGCCGGCUUCCUCUCUCCCUCUCUAGAAACUAAGUGGUAUGAGCACAGGCAUCCUGAGGCCUGGCUCCUAGGAAUACUCGGACACAGCGACACUUGCCCAAUCUUUGGUGAAUCAAUGGAUUUAAACUGCAGCAAAUCCGGGGGAGGUCAGAGGAAUUUUUUAAAGCAGGAGCAAAAUAUGAAAACAUAUGUUUUGCCUCAGUGAGGAGGGUGCCCGGAGCAGGGAGAGCCGCAGAGAGCAAGGGCAUGUGAACAGCAUGAGGGUCCUGGCUGAGGGACUCCAAGCUCAGUCCAGAGCCGCCCUCCCCCCGUUCCUAGCCUGCCCUCGGCACACAAGAGAGGCCUGAGGACUGCAGGUGUGUUUGCUACACCAUUUUCCUGAGCUUGGAACCCUGGGGGAUAAUGAGAGAACUGAGACAGUGGAUAUUAUUCUGUUUCCCUGUUCAGGCCAUUUCUGGG
rnacentral:lncRNA from 10 species